rnacentral:rRNA from 1 species
UGGGGAAUAUUGCACAAUCGGGGGAAAACCCUGAUGCAGCGACGCCGCGUGAGCGAAGAAGUACUUCGGUAUGUAAAGCUCUGUCAGCAGGGAAGAUAAUGACGGUACCUGACCAAGAAGCCCGGCUAACUACGUGCC